GACAGAGGGUGCAAACGUUGUUCGGAAUUACUGGGCGUAAAGCGCGUGUAGGCGGCCCUGCAAGUCGGGUGUGAAAUCCCACGGCUCAACCGUGGAAGUGCACUCGAAACUGCAGGGCUAGAGUCCUGGAGAGGAAGGUGGAAUGCUUGGUGUAGAGGUGAAAUUCGUAGAUAUCAAGCGGAACACCGGUGGCGAAGGCGGCCUUCUGGACAGUGACUGACGCUGAGGUGCGAAAGCGUGGGGAGCAAACAGG
rnacentral:rRNA from 1 species